UGGCUCAGGAUGAACGCUAGCGGCAGGCUUAACACAUGCAAGUCGAGGGGUAUAAGUCUUCGGAUUUAGAGACCGGCGCACGGGUGCGUAACGCGUAUGCAAUCUACCUUUUACAGAGGGAUAGCCCAGAGAAAUUUGGAUUAAUACCUCAUAGCAUAGCAGCUUCGCAUGAAGCCACUAUUAAAGUCACAACGGUAAAAGAUGAGCAUGCGUCCCAUUAGCUAGUUGGUAAGGUAACGGCUUACCAAGGCUACGAUGGGUAGGGGUCCUGAGAGGGAGAUCCCCCACACUGGUACUGAGACACGGACCAGACUCCUACGGGAGGCAGCAGUGAGGAAUAUUGGACAAUGGGCGCAAGCCUGAUCCAGCCAUGCCGCGUGCAGGAUGACGGUCCUAUGGAUUGUAAACUGCUUUUAUACGAGAAGAAACACUCCUUCGUGAAGGAGCUUGACGGUAUCGUAAGAAUAAGGAUCGGCUAACUC
rnacentral:rRNA from 1 species